GACGAACGCUGGCGGCGUGCCUAAUACAUGCAAGUAGAACGCACAGGAUGCACCGUAGUUUACUACACCGUAUUCUGUGAGUUGCGAACGGGUGAGUAACGCGUAGGUAACCUGCCUGGUAGCGGGGGAUAACUAUUGGAAACGAUAGCUAAUACCGCAUAAGAACAUUUACUGCAUGGUAGAUGUUUAAAAGGUGCAAAUGCAUCACUACCAGAUGGACCUGCGUUGUAUUAGCUAGUAGGUGAGGUAACGGCUCACCUAGGCGACGAUACAUAGCCGACCUGAGAGGGUGAUCGGCCACACUGGGACUGAGACACGGCCCAGACUCCUACGGGAGGCAGCAGUAGGGAAUCUUCGGCAAUGGGGGGAACCCUGACCGAGCAACGCCGCGUGAGUGAAGAAGGUUUUCGGAUCGUAAAGCUCUGUUGUUAAGGAAGAACGAGUGUGAGAAUGGAGAGUUCAUACUGUGACGGUACUUAACCAGAAAGGGACGGCUAACUAC
rnacentral:rRNA from 1 species